CCUACGGGAGGCAGCAGUGGGGAAUAUUGCACAAUGGGCGCAAGCCUGAUGCAGCAACGCCGCGUGAGGGAUGACGGCCUUCGGGUUGUAAACCUCUUUUAGCAGGGAAGAAGCGAAAGUGACGGUACCUGCAGAAAAAGCGCCGGCUAACUACGUGCCAGCAGCCGCGGUAAUACGUAGGGCGCAAGCGUUAUCCGGAAUUAUUGGGCGUAAAGAGCUCGUAGGCGGUUUGUCGCGUCUGCUGUGAAAUCCGGAGGCUCAACCUCCGGCCUGCAGUGGGUACGGGCAGACUAGAGUGCGGUAGGGGAGAUUGGAAUUCCUGGUGUAGCGGUGGAAUGCGCAGAUAUCAGGAGGAACACCGAUGGCGAAGGCAGAUCUCUGGGCCGUAACUGACGCUGAGGAGCGAAAGGUGGGGAGCAAACAGGCUUAGAUACCCUGGCAGUCCACCCGUAAACGUUGGGAACUAGUUGUGGGGUCCAUUCCACGGAUUCCGUGACGCAGCUAACGCAUUAAGUUCCCCGCCUGGGGAUACGGCCGCAAGGCUAAAACUCAAAGGAAUUGACGGCNGAGACGNGCGACGACGACGACGAGGGAGAGG
rnacentral:rRNA from 1 species